UACAUGGGGUGCAAACGUUGCUCGGAAUUAUUGGGCGUAAAGCGCGCGUAGGCGGUUACUUAAGUCGGGUGUGAAAGCCCUCGGCUUAACUGAGGAAGUGCACCCGAAACUGAGUAGCUAGAGUACGAAAGAGGGUCGCGGAAUUCCCGGUGUAGAGGUGAAAUUCGUAGAUAUCGGGAGGAACACCGGUGGCGAAGGCGGCGACCUGGGUCGAGACUGACGCUGAGGAGCGAAAGCGUGGGUAGCAAACAGG
rnacentral:rRNA from 1 species